UACGUAGGGGGCGAGCGUUGUCCGGAUUUAUUGGGCGUAAAGAGCGUGUAGGCGGCCAGGUAGGUCCGUUGUGAAAACUCGAGGCUCAACCUCGAGACGUCGAUGGAAACCAUCUGGCUAGAGUCCGGAAGAGGAGAGUGGAAUUCCUGGUGUAGCGGUGAAAUGCGCAGAUAUCAGGAAGAACACCUAUGGCGAAGGCAGCUCUCUGGGCAGCAACUGACGCUGAGGAGCGAAAGCGUGGGGAGCGAACAGG
rnacentral:rRNA from 1 species